UUUUUACGGUACACGGAGGAAGAGAUUUAACGUUUUGAAAACAAUGCAGACGUAUCGAUGAAAUCUCUAGAAGGAGCGAAAUGAAUAAACGAGUGAAACAACGCCGACAGGAAAGGGAGACACUUUCUUGUUCGCUCGAUGAAAUCGUGCGGCUGGCAUCCUUCUCUUAAAAUUAAGACAAUCGAAGCCUUUCGACGUCUCCCGUCUGUGAAGGCUUUUUUCCAACGGAAACCAGUCCACCCGAAGAUAACCUAUCAACCGGCAAUCUUCGUGUCGUCUUUGAAUCAGAGACAAUGCACGUCAGAGGUUGAGAAGCUGAAGAAAGGGAAGAAUCGCGUGCUUUACCCGCUAGUUGCUCGAAUCGGACGAUUUACUCGUGUGGAAGUAACAUCGGCAAUGGCGUCGCUACUUCUCUCGCUUUUUGGCGUCAUAAAAAUUUCUUACAGCGUAAGGUUGACAUUUUCAUUUUCCGUAAAAUAUUUUCCACCAAAUAAUUAGAAAUACGUUGAAAACAUAUCUCAAGAUAUUUCAAUCUUUGCCUUUUAAUAAAUUCCCUAAGACGAAAUUAGCGAUAAUAAAGAUAAUAAAAGUAAGAGAAAGAGAGAGAGAGAGGAACUCUUGGAAGCGCUUGAAUCGAUAUCUCAAGGAAAAUCUCUAUCGCAGAGGUUGCCGUGUCGCGCGAAAGAGGGACGGAAACGUUGGCUGGCAAUAUGCGUUAACCCCGUUUCACCGUGUCCGCCGCAAAAAGGUCAACAGUCCUUGCAUUCAUUUCCUGACGAGAUCAAAGAGGACGAACCUUUUCACCCGAGAUUUUCUUCGUUUGAAGAACACGCUUUUUUUCCCUCUUUUUGCUAUCAGCUUCAGCGGACGAGGAGCGGCUCGAUGCUCGAGGGGCCCGCUCGCUCGAGAGUUCGGUGUUCUAUAAGCGAGAUUAUCUCGUUCCCAGGAAGACUUCGUCCUCCAUUCAGGCCCAGCAACCACGGAAUAGCUUAAGUAUUUUGAUUCACCGAGUACUCGAGGACCUGAUCAACAAGGCCUAGAAAUACGCGUAUGUGCGUUUUGUCAACGGUUCUCCACCAGCCAUUCGUCGUCUCGAGCUAGAAGAAAAGGAAAAUGAAAUUACCCCCGCGGUGGAUACCAGACGCUUCGCUGAGUCUUUAUAAACGUUGUUUGACCGUCGAUUUCUUCUUCUCUUUUCUUUUUUUUUUUUUAAACUUCUCCACUCGCUUUUUUUCUUUCUCUUAUUCCACCUUAUUCGUUCUGACAUCUUUCUCUUUCCAUUACGAAUACUAUGAGACGGUUGAACGAACGAUUCCACGGGCACGAACAAGUUCACGGUCGAUUGUUUUUAUUCCCUUUCUUCGGUACCUCGUUCCUCGGGGAUGGCUCGAGCAGAGGAGGCAUUCGUGAGAAUUAAUCGAGCCGUUCCAUUCGACACGGCGUUUCAGCGUCGAACGAUUCCAAUCCUUUCAAUGGGCGCUCGUCGUUCCAGCAAGCGUAUUUAACAAAAAGCCAACCAGCCAUCGUCGACGCUCCAUACCAUCGAGGGUUGGUUUCCUUGAACGGGGUCGCGUCUCAUGGACCAAGUCAACCGAUCAUGGUACAACGCUCGCAUCAACAACUCGAUUCCCCGGUUGUAUUCACGAACAAUUUAAAUACAGCAGGUACCAAAAUACUCCACUCCGGAGACUAUAGAGCGUAU